rnacentral:rRNA from 1 species
GACGAACGCUGGCGGCGUGCCUAAUACAUUCAAGUGGGACGCAAGGGAACACACUGUGCUUGCACACCGUGUUUUCUUGAGUCGCGAACGGGUGAGUAACGCGUAGGUAACCUGCCUAUUAGCGGGGGAUAGCUAUUGGAAACGAUAGCUAAUACCGCAUAAUAUUAAUUAUUGCAUGGUAAUUGAUUGAAAGAUGCAAGCGCAUCACUAGUAGAUGGACCUGCGUUGUAUUAGCUAGUUGGUAAGGUAAGAGCUUACCAAGGCGACGAUACAUAGCCGACCUGAGAGGGUGAUCGGCCACACUGGGACUGAGACACGGCCCAGACUCCUACGGGAGGCAGCAGUAGGGAAUCUUCGGCAAUGGACGAAAGUCUGACCGAGCAACGCCGCGUGAGUGAAGAAGGUUUUCGGAUCGUAAAGCUCUGUUGUAAGUCAAGAACGUGUGUGAGAGUGGAAAGUUCACACAGUGACGG